AUGUCCGGGCUGACCAUCAACUUCGAUAAGAGCGAAGUGCUGGUGCUGGGAUACCCACCGGAGGAGGCCCAGGACAUUGCGGACCGGCUUAAUUGCCGCCUGGGUUCUUUCCCCAUGACUUAUCUGGGGAUCCCCAUUAGUGACUCGCGCCUCACCGUAGCGGAUCUCCGCCCUUCCGUGACCCAAAUGCAACACCGGGUCGAGCCCUGGAAGGGCCGGUGGCUCUCGAAGGCGGCGCGGGUAAUCCUCAUCAACUCCUCGCUGGCUAGCCUCCUCUGGUUCCUCAUGAGCUUCUAUAGACUCCAUGAGACGCUUCACCAGGAGGUGGCCAAAUAUCAAUCCAGGUUUUUCUGGGCUGGCGAGGAGGAUAAGCAAAAAUACCAUAUGGUGAGCUGGCCGGACAUUUGCAAACCCAAGGACCAGGGAGGUCUGGGGAUCUUGUCCUCCCGUCGCAUGAACAUUGCUCUCCUAACCCGAUGGCUAUGGCGUAUCGCCAACGGAGAGGGCAGCCUCUGGCUUACCAUCAUCCAGAAUAAGUACCUCCAUGGACAACCUCUUGCUUUCUGCCAGCGCUCUGGGGGAUCCCAGUUCUGGCAGACUGUGAUUCAGCUCCUCCCCGUGCUCCAAAUUGGCACUUCUAUCUCGGUGGGCUCCGGGUCCUCGGCCCUGUUUUGGUUCGACCGCUGGCUUGGGGACUCCCCUCUGGCCGUCCGCGUCCCGGGCUUAUUUGCCAUUGCGGUUGACCCCAGGAUCUCCGUUGAGACGGCCCUUAUGGACUUAGGGCGUCUUGCCUUUAGGCGCACCUUUGGCCCCCAGGAGGUUGACGCGUGGGACGCCCUUCUAUAG
rnacentral:rRNA from 1 species